CAGAGACUGCUCCUAAAAGAGAUAUACUAACCAUUUCUUUCAGUGCUGGUGCUGCAGGCAUCAUAAUACUCAUCUCAGUGGCAGUUUAUCUGGCUUACACUAAUAAAGGCUUCAAUUUUAACAGAGAAGUGGGGCCUAUAGUCUACACAGACUUCACAGAACCAAGAGCUGACAACCUCCACAUAUCAUCACAAGAG